rnacentral:sRNA from 1 species
GCUGGGCACAGUGGUGUGUGCCUAUAAUCCCAGUGGUUUGGGAGGCUGAGGCAGGAGGAUUGUGAGUUCAAACACAGCUUCAGCAACUUAGCAAGACCCUAAGCAACUCAAGUGAGACCCUGUCUCUA